rnacentral:tRNA from 1 species
UGGCGCAGCUUGGCUAGCGCACCUGCUUUGGGAGCAGGGGGUCGCGGGUUCGAAUCCCG